rnacentral:SRP_RNA from 1 species
UCGCGCUAGGUGGGGAGCCAGCGGUGCCCUGUACCCGCAAUCCGCUUCAGCGGGGCUGAAUCCCCGCCCGAGGGAUCGCCCUGUGGGGCAGUCAACCGUGCGACGGCGUUGAGGGUCGGGUCCCGCGCAAUGGGAGCCCGUGAACCCCGUCAGGUCCGGGAGGAAGCAGCGGUAAGCGGUCUCUCCCAUGUGCCGCGGGGACACCUGGCCGGAGCCGUCGUUCGGAGAGGACGCUCGGAGGACGUGUUUCGACGGCGGGUGCGCGA